GUAUCUGUAGUGUAGUGGUUAUCACGUUUGCCCAACAUGCAAGAGGUCCCUGUUUCAAAACCAGGCAGCAACA